GGGCUGCUGGCGUAACGGUCAACGCACGAGCCUUUUAAGCUCUGAGAUCUGGGUUCGACUCCCAGGCGGCCCA
rnacentral:tRNA from 1 species